AUGUUAAGUAAGCCAGGUUC
rnacentral:piRNA from 1 species